CAUCGGGGGCAAUGAUUACUUGAGCCCAGCUCGUGGAGAUUCCAAGCAGUCAUAUACUCGGCAACAAUUUGUGGACAUGGUUAUCGGCAACUUCACAACUGUCAUCAAAGUACCGACAAAAACAUUUAAUCCAUUUGUACCCCUUUUUUGAAUUUUUCAAACAUAAGAUUAUUCUCUUUAAUUUUUAUCAGAUUGAUAUAUUUAUUUUGGAUAAAUAACAGGAGAUAUAUAAGAAAGGGGGGAGGAAAUUUAGUUUUCUUAGCUUACCACCCUUGGGUUGUUGGCCAAGCAUUAAGGCACAAAGAGCAGGAAAUACCUGCGAUGAAGAUCUAGCAGCCCUGGUAGAGCAACACAUGGAGGCGUUUUCCAAAAACCUGAAUAAGUUGGAGAAGCAGUUAAAAGGAGUCGAGUAUUCCUAUUUCGAUCUCCACACUUGCUUCAGUGACAAAAUGGCCAAUCCGUCAAAAUAUGGUAAGCUUAAUUUUUGUCUGAAUAUAUAUGAAUUAAGAAGGUAGCUGAGAUGAGUA
rnacentral:lncRNA from 1 species